rnacentral:rRNA from 1 species
UAGGGAAUCUUCCACAAUGGACGCAAGUCUGAUGGAGCAACGCCGCGUGAGUGAAGAAGGUUUUCGGAUCGUAAAGCUCUGUUGUUGGUGAAGAAGGAUAGAGGCAGUAACUGGUCUUUAUUUGACGGUAAUCAACCAGAAAGUCACGGCUAACUACGUGCCAGCAGCCGCGGUAAUACGUAGGUGGCAAGCGUUGUCCGGAUUUAUUGGGCGUAAAGCGAGCGCAGGCGGAAUGAUAAGUCUGAUGUGAAAGCCCACGGCUCAACCGUGGAACUGCAUCGGAAACUGUGAUUCUAGAGUGCAGAAGAGGAGAGUGGAAUUCCAUGUGUAGCGGUGGAAUGCGUAGAUAUAUGGAAGAACACCAGUGGCGAAGGCGGCUCUCUGGUCUGCAACUGACGCUGAGGCUCGAAAGCAUGGGUAGCGAACAGG